GAAGAGAGAGUUCAAGAGUACGUGAAACUGCUCAGGGGCAAACGGGUGGGCCCUCGAAGUCCACGCGGAGAGGGAUUCAGUCGUGAACCGUCGGGCGUGCCGAAGUCGAACCAAGACCGGACUCCGGAACGGAGUCGCGGCGAUGGCACGGUCCCGGGGUCGCGCGACGCACUUUCCUCUCCCGCCAAGGACGCCGCAGCCGGUUGGGAUCCGGCAGUGAGGACCAGGGGAUGGCAGGUGGCGUGGAUCUGGGCCCUCGCGCCCGGCGUCCCGUGUCUGGCCGUCUCCGCCGUCCGUGCGCGGAACCCGACCGAGGGAAUUACACGUCGAUCGUUUUCGACGAGCCGUUGCCUCGCCACAGCGAGCGGGAAACCCGUGUCAGGGGAGGCGAUCGCAGACAGCUCCGCUGCUCACCGAGACGGUGUCCGGAGCCGGUCGCGCCCCGCUGGGCCGGGAACGCCCCGCGGCGUAAGCGCAACAGGGCUUGCGGCGAGUAGGUCGGUAACCCACCCGACCCGUCUUGAAACACGGACCAAGGAGUUUAACAUGUGCGCGAGUCAGUGGGACUCGAACAAGCCCACGGGCGGAACGAAAGUGAAUAUAUCGUCGGGAUCCCCCGUCUUCGGGCGGGGGCGCACCGACGGCCUGGCGCGACCCGCCUCGAUCGGGGUGGGUGCGACCGGUGCCGGAGCGUACACGUUGAGACCCGAAAGAUGGUGAACUAUGCCCGGGCAGGUCGAAGCUAGAGGAAACUCUGGUGGAGGACCGCAGCGGUUCUGACGUGC
rnacentral:rRNA from 1 species